GGGCGUUCUUGUUUUAAAACUUUGAGGCCAUUGACAUAUAUUCUUUUGGCAGAGAUUGUUCAUCAUGUCAGAGGGGACCUCUCCCUCUCACAGUUGUCACGAAUUAUUUACUUGUUCUCAACUAAUAUGCAUGAUGUUUCAUUGUCACUAGGCAUUCAUACGACUUGUGCUCGUCUGAUGUUAAAUUUGGUGGAAUCAAUUUUUGAGAAGAGGGUUGAUCAGUCAUCAAUGGAU